rnacentral:rRNA from 1 species
UACAGAGGGUGCAAGCGUUGUUCGGAAUUACUGGGCGUAAAGGGCGCGUAGGCGGCUUGGCAAGUCAGAUGUGAAAUCCUGGGGCUUAACUCCAGAAGUGCAUUUGAAACUGCCUCGCUAGAGUACAGUAGAGGUUGGUGGAAUACCCAGUGUAGAGGUGAAAUUCGUAGAUAUUGGGUGGAACACCGGUGGCGAAGGCGGCCAACUGGGCUGUAACUGACGCUGAGGCGCGAAAGCGUGGGGAUCAAACAGG